ACUAGAGUAGCACUCGCAUAUCAAUAAGCGGAGGAAAAGAAACUAACAAGGAUUCCCCUAGUAACGGCGAGUGAAGCGGGAAGAGCUCAAAUUUGAAAUCUUAAAGGGUUUCCCUUUACGAAUUGUAGUUUAAAGAAGUGUUUUCUGUUGAGGUUUGGUAAAAGUUCUUUGGAAUAGGACAUCAUAGAGGGUGAGAAUCCCGUAUUUGACCUUUACUUUCAACUUUGUGAUACACUUUCAAAGAGUCGGAUUAUUUGGGAAUUGCAGUCCAAAAUGGGUGGUAAAUUUCAUCUAAAGCUAAAUAUUGGCGAGAGACCGAUAGCGAACAAGUACCGUGAGGGAAAGAUGAAAAGAACUUUGAAAAGAGAGUUAAACAGUACGUGAAAUUGUCAAAAGGGAAGCGUUUGACACCAGUGUUGUUUUUCUGAAAAUCAAUUAAAGAACUGUUUAUGCUAAGCUGUUUAGACUUUAUCAGCUAUCUGUUUAGUUUUGAGUUUUUCUUUAAUGCACUUUUCAGUUAACAAGUCAACAUCAAUUUCUUUUGCUGUAAAAAAGCUUGAGGAAGGUGGCUUGAGAUUCGUCUUAAGUGUUUAUAGCCUCUUGCCUAUGCAGUCGGAGAGAUUGAGGUCUGCAGCGUAGAUCCUUCGGGGCUAAAUGCAUUUGUGCUAAGUUAUAGCAUUUUAUAGACAACUUGUUGACUAUGAUUUGUCUUGUAGCUUACUCGCUUAUGUUAUUUUACCUACGCUUAGGAUGUUGAACUCUAUCACACACAG
rnacentral:rRNA from 1 species